rnacentral:rRNA from 1 species
GAUGAACGCUGACAGAAUGCUUAACACAUGCAAGUCUUUGGCGAAGCUGUGCUUGCACAGCCUAGCCAAGGCGGACGGGUGAGUAACGCGUAAGGAACUUGCCCUGCAGUCAGGGAUAACAGACGGAAACGACUGAUAAGACCUGGUAAAGUCAGGCGGACUCAUGUCCAGCCUGAUGAAAAGAGAUGCUGCAGGAGAGUCUUGCGUCCUAUUAGCUUGUUGGUGGGGUAACGGCCCACCAAGGCGAUGAUAGGUAGCCGGCCUGAGAGGGUGGACGGCCACAAGGGGACUGAGAUACGGCCCUUACUCCUACGGGAGGCAGCAGUGGGGAAUAUUGGACAAUGGGGGCAACCCUGAUCCAGCAAUUCUGUGUGCACGAUGAAGGUUUUCGGAUUGUAAAGUGCUUUCAGCAGGGAAGAAAAAAUGACGGUACCUGCAGAAGAAGCGACGGCUAAAUACGUG